CUCAUAGCGUAUAUUAAGUUGUUGCAGUUAAAAAGCUCGUAGUUGAACUUCUGGCUAUUCUUCCAGCUGGCUUCGGUCGCUGUAAGAGUGGUCAUCCGCUUGGGAACUACGUUCGAACUUCACUGUUCGGCGUAAGGAACAGGCAUUUUACUUAGAAAAAAUUAGAGUGUUCAAGGCAGGCUAUCGCCCUGAAUACACAAGCUUGGAAUAAUGAAAUAGGACUACUUCCAUUUUAUUGGUUAUUGGAAUUAGUAAUGAUUAAUAGGGACAGUUGGGGACAUUAGUAUUUAAUUGUCAGAGGUGAAAUUCUUGGAUUUAUUAAAGACUAACUUAUGCGAAAGCAUUUGUCAAGGAUGUUUUCAUUAAUCAAGAACGAAAGUUAGGGGAUCAAAGACGAUCAGAUACCGUCCUAGUCUUAACUAUAAACUAUACCGACUAGGGAUUGGCCGGGUCUCUUUAACCGGGUCAGCACCUUAUGAGAAAUCAAAGUCUAUGGGUUCUGGGGGGAGUAUGGUCGCAAGGCUGAAACUUAAAGGAAUUGACGGAAGGGCACCACCAGGAGUGGAGCCUGCGGCUUAAUUUGACUCAACACGGGGAAACUUACCAGGUCAAGACAUAAGUGGGAUUGACAGAUUGAGAGCUCUUUCUUGAUUCUAUGGGUGGUGGUGCAUGGCCGUUCUUAGUUGGUGGAGUGAUUUGUCUGGUUA
rnacentral:rRNA from 1 species